UACAGAGGGUGCAAGCGUUAAUCGGAAUUACUGGGCGUAAAGGGCGCGUAGGCGGUUAUUUAAGUUGUAGGUGAAAUGUCUGGGCUUAACCUGGGAAUUGCCUAUAAGACUGAAUGACUAGAGUAGGGUAGAGGGAAGUGGAAUUUCCAGUGUAGCGGUGAAAUGCGUAGAUAUUGGAAAGAACAUCAGUGGCGAAGGCGACUUCCUGGAUUUAUACUGACGCUGAGGCGCGAAAGCAUGGGUAGCAAACAGG
rnacentral:rRNA from 1 species